UACGUAGGGGGCAAGCGUUGUCCGGAUUUAUUGGGCGUAAAGAGCGUGUAGGCGGCCAGUCAGGUCCGUUGUGAAAACUCGAGGCUCAACCUCGAGACGCCGAUGGAAACCGACUGGCUAGAGUCCGGAAGAGGAGAGUGGAAUUCCCGGUGUGAGCGGUGAAAUGCGCAGAUAUCGGGAAGAACACCCCGUGGCUAAGGCGGCUCUCUAGUACGGUACUGACGCUGAGACGCGAAAAGCGUGGGGAGCAAACAGG
rnacentral:rRNA from 1 species